UUCUCUGGCCGCUGUGGCUCUGCUAGCAAGUAACUGCAGCACAGGAAGACUACUGGGUAGUAUUUACAAAAUAGGUUACUAAUGUUAUUAUGUAUAUACAUAUCUAUGUUUGUGUGCCUAACUUGGCACCCUGCCUUUUUACUAUUUACUGAAUGUGCUUUUGUCUCAAUUAACUGUUUACUUCUGCAGAAUAGUCAUAACUGAAAGUUAAUACAGUGAUAGAGGAAAAAGUAAUCCUUCCUAAUUGGCUGUGGUAAUGUACUUGACUUUUUUUGAAAGCACUUUAUUAUAAGACUUUCACUAUUGGUAAGGAAUCAAAAUAAUCAUUCCCCUCUUUCCUCCUACCCCCGAAGACCUGUAGCUGAUUGUUGUGACAUCACUGCACAUGAAACCCCUGUAUCACUAGUUUUUUAUUCCCUUUAUUAGGAAAAUCACUAGUUUUUUAUUCUCUUUAUUAUCCAUUUGUAAAAUGGAUGUGCUCUCUGUUGUUUCAUACGACAGUUAAGGCCGUUUCAGUGCAGAAUGCUCUUAGCUGAUUAUAAGAAUUACACUCUUUCUGUUCUUCAGUGUAACAAUUAACAAACCUAUAAUAAGAUAGAACAUUCAGCAAGCAAAAUUUCAUAAUGUCUAAAAUAUAAGUCUAUGCAUCAAAUCCAAGCCCUUUUUAUUUAAAGUCAUUUAGCAAUAGCUAUUAUGUAGGAAAAAAAUCUUCAUUUACUUAAAAAGGAAAAAAACCCUUAAUUUCCUGAAAAACUGCACUGAAAAAUAAUUGCUUGAAAUGUACACUGUUGUCUGACAAAAAAAAAACUUCUAAUUAGCUUUUGCAGGAUCUUCCUUGAACCAAUCUAGACAGAAAGAUAUCCUUUACUGUUACUGAUGGGAUGGAAUGAGGCCAAGGCUGAUGGAGAGAACACUGACCAGAAUGCUGAGUUUUUUCAUGCAUUUUCCACGGAAAGAAUAUAAAGCAUCAAAGACUGAGGCCAGAGCCUUCCUUCAGGGUCUUGCUCAACCACUUCUGUGCAACUGGAAUUUUGUUUUUCAGUUUCCUUUUUGGUUCAUACACACAGGCCAUUCUUCUCACUUAGAAUACAAGCAGUUAAAAUCUAUCUGUUUGGAAAAUACUUUAGUGGCAGAGGCAGACUCCAGGCAGCAGAGCACAGGGUUCAGGCCUCAUCAGUGUGGAAGUGUCUGAACUUUCAGCACUUUCAUUCCCAAUGGCUAUUUUAUAUGAGUAAAUUGUAUGCAGCAGGACCACAAAAGUAAGUGGUGUGGUAUACUUCACUGCCUUAUGAUGGAAGCCUCAAUUUGGUUUCAUUCAUUUAGUUUAACUGGAACAAAUUCUGGCUUAGUUAUUUCUUGAAUCAUCUGGACAUAUUAGUUGGUAUGGGCCAAAUCAAUGCUGAAAGCAGGUUGAUGACUGAACAGAAUAGAUGAAAAAGUGCUAGUAUUAGACCAUAUGCCUUGGUCCUCCUAAAUUUAUUGGAAUAGACAUAACCAAUAAAUACCAUGAUAACAGGA